rnacentral:rRNA from 1 species
UUGGAGGGCAAGUCUGGUGCCAGCAGCCGCGGUAAUUCCAGCUCCAAUAGCGUAUAUUAAAGUUGUUGUGGUUAAAAAGCUCGUAGUAGAAGCUCGGGCUCCGGCCGACCGGUCCGCCUCACCGCGUGCACUGGUUCGGCCGGGCCUUCACCUUCUGCGGAACCGCAUCCCCUUCACUGGGGGUGCCGGGGAAACAGGACGUUUACUUUGAAAAAAUUAGAGUGCUCCAGGCAGGCCUAUGCUCGAAUACAUUAGCAUGGAAUAAUGAAAUAGGACGUGCGGUCUUAUUUCGUUGGUUUCUAAGACCGCCGUAAUGAUUAAUAGGGACAGUCGGGGGCAUCAGUAUUCAAUCGUCAGAGGUGAAGUUCUUGGAUCGAUUGAAGACUAACUACUGCGAAAGCAUUUGCCAAGGAUGUUUUCAUUUAUCAGGAACGAAAGUUAGGGGAUCGAAGACGAUCAGAUACCGUCGUAGUCUUAACCAUAAACUAUGCCGACUAGGGAUCGGACGGUGUUAUUUCUUGACCCGUUCGGCGCCUUACGGGAAAC